rnacentral:lncRNA from 7 species
GCACAGCAAAGUUGAGACACUAAAUGCUGGGCGUGGGUACGAGCAAUGCUGCCAUCAUUUCAAUUGCGGGCUGGGCCAAAUCUUUGUGCUCAGCAAAGACCUUUUCACCAGGGGCGUGAAUAGAGAAAACCCAGUGGCUGGACUGAGGAGCAGUCAUGAGACGGAAGCCACGGCAGAUGGAAGCUGGACAUUGCUUUGAUCAGAUGCUCAAGUGACAGGGGACGAGAGCUACCACCUCCAACUUUCCACAAGCUCUUGCUUGCAGUGCCCAUGUCAGGGCUGAGAUGCUUGCUUAAGGUCAGUCAGCUAUGACUCCCUGCCCUCCACCCCGCAUCCCAAGCCCAUGCUGUACACAGUCCUCUGGCCACUUGAAUAUAUGACUCAUUUUAAUAUUUUGUUUUGCAAA